rnacentral:rRNA from 1 species
CUGCUGCCUUCCGUAGGAGUUUGGGCCGUGUCUCAGUCCCAAUGUGGCCGGUCACCCUCUCAGGUCGGCUACUGAUCGUCGCCUUGGUGGGCUGUUAUCUCACCAACUAGCUAAUCAGAUGCGGGCCCAUCUUUUACCGAAUAAAUCCUUUCUUUCCUAGAAGAUGCCUUCCAAGAACCGUAUGCGGUAUUAGUCACCGUUUCCAGUGAUUAUUCCCCAGUAAAAGGCAGGUUACCCACACGUUACUCACCCGUCCGCCGCUAAAAUAAU